UUAAGCGACUAAGCGUACACGGUGGAUGCCCUGGCAGUCAGAGGCGAUGAAGGACGUGCUAAUCUGCGAUAAGCGUCGGUAAGGUGAUAUGAACCGUUAUAACCGGCGAUUUCCGAAUGGGGAAACCCAGUGUGAUUCGUCACACUAUCAUUAACUGAAUCCAUAGGUUAAUGAGGCGAACCGGGGGAACUGAAACAUCUAAGUACCCCGAGGAAAAGAAAUCAACCGAGAUUCCCCCAGUAGCGGCGAGCGAACGGGGAGCAGCCCAGAGCCUGAAUCAGUGUGUGUGUUAGUGGAAGCGUCUGGAAAGGCGCGCGAUACAGGGUGACAGCCCCGUACACAAAAAUGCACAUGCUGUGAGCUCGAUGAGUAGGGCGGGACACGUGGUAUCCUGUCUGAAUAUGGGGGGACCAUCCUCCAAGGCUAAAUACUCCUGACUGACCGAUAGUGAACCAGUACCGUGAGGGAAAGGCGAAAAGAACCCCGGCGAGGGGAGUGAAAAAGAACCUGAAACCGUGUACGUACAAGCAGUGGGAGCACGCUUAGGCGUGUGACUGCGUACCUUUUGUAUAAUGGGUCAGCGACUUAUAUUCUGUAGCAAGGUUAACCGAAUAGGGGAGCCGAAGGGAAACCGAGUCUUAACUGGGCGUUAAGUUGCAGGGUAUAGACCCGAAACCCGGUGAUCUAGCCAUGGGCAGGUUGAAGGUUGGGUAACACUAACUGGAGGACCGAACCGACUAAUGUUGAAAAAUUAGCGGAUGACUUGUGGCUGGGGGUGAAAGGCCAAUCAAACCGGGAGAUAGCUGGUUCUCCCCGAAAGCUAUUUAGGUAGCGCCUCGUGAACUCAUCUCCGGGGGUAGAGCACUGUUUCGGCAAGGGGGUCAUCCCGACUUACCAACCCGAUGCAAACUGCGAAUACCGGAGAAUGUUAUCACGGGAGACACACGGCGGGUGCUAACGUCCGUCGUGAAGAGGGAAACAACCCAGACCGCCAGCUAAGGUCCCAAAGUCAUGGUUAAGUGGGAAACGAUGUGGGAAGGCCCAGACAGCCAGGAUGUUGGCUUAGAAGCAGCCAUCAUUUAAAGAAAGCGUAAUAGCUCACUGGUCGAGUCGGCCUGCGCGGAAGAUGUAACGGGGCUAAACCAUGCACCGAAGCUGCGGCAGCGACGCUUAUGCGUUGUUGGGUAGGGGAGCGUUCUGUAAGCCUGUGAAGGUGUACUGUGAGGUAUGCUGGAGGUAUCAGAAGUGCGAAUGCUGACAUAAGUAACGAUAAAGCGGGUGAAAAGCCCGCUCGCCGGAAGACCAAGGGUUCCUGUCCAACGUUAAUCGGGGCAGGGUGAGUCGACCCCUAAGGCGAGGCCGAAAGGCGUAGUCGAUGGGAAACAGGUUAAUAUUCCUGUACUUGGUGUUACUGCGAAGGGGGACGGAGAAGGCUAUGUUGACCGGGCGACGGUUGUCCCGGUUUAAGCGUGUAGGCUGGUUUUCCAGGCAAAUCCGGAAAAUCAAGGCUGAGGCGUGAUGACGAGGCACUACGGUGCUGAAGCAACAAAUGCCCUGCUUCCAGGAAAAGCCUCUAAGCAUCAGGUAACAUCAAAUCGUACCCCAAACCGACACAGGUGGUCAGGUAGAGAAUACCAAGGCGCUUGAGAGAACUCGGGUGAAGGAACUAGGCAAAAUGGUGCCGUAACUUCGGGAGAAGGCACGCUGAUAUGUAGGUGAAGUCCCUCGCGGAUGGAGCUGAAAUCAGUCGAAGAUACCAGCUGGCUGCAACUGUUUAUUAAAAACACAGCACUGUGCAAACACGAAAGUGGACGUAUACGGUGUGACGCCUGCCCGGUGCCGGAAGGUUAAUUGAUGGGGUCAGCGCAAGCGAAGCUCUUGAUCGAAGCCCCGGUAAACGGCGGCCGUAACUAUAACGGUCCUAAGGUAGCGAAAUUCCUUGUCGGGUAAGUUCCGACCUGCACGAAUGGCGUAAUGAUGGCCAGGCUGUCUCCACCCGAGACUCAGUGAAAUUGAACUCGCUGUGAAGAUGCAGUGUACCCGCGGCAAGACGGAAAGACCCCGUGAACCUUUACUAUAGCUUGACACUGAACAUUGAGCCUUGAUGUGUAGGAUAGGUGGGAGGCUUAGAAGUGUGGACGCCAGUCUGCAUGGAGCCGACCUUGAAAUACCACCCUUUAAUGUUUGAUGUUCUAACGUUGACCCGUAAUCCGGGUUGCGGACAGUGUCUGGUGGGUAGUUUGACUGGGGCGGUCUCCUCCUAAAGAGUAACGGAGGAGCACGAAGGUUGGCUAAUCCUGGUCGGACAUCAGGAGGUUAGUGCAAUGGCAUAAGCCAGCUUGACUGCGAGCGUGACGGCGCGAGCAGGUGCGAAAGCAGGUCAUAGUGAUCCGGUGGUUCUGAAUGGAAGGGCCAUCGCUCAACGGAUAAAAGGUACUCCGGGGAUAACAGGCUGAUACCGCCCAAGAGUUCAUAUCGACGGCGGUGUUUGGCACCUCGAUGUCGGCUCAUCACAUCCUGGGGCUGAAGUAGGUCCCAAGGGUAUGGCUGUUCGCCAUUUAAAGUGGUACGCGAGCUGGGUUUAGAACGUCGUGAGACAGUUCGGUCCCUAUCUGCCGUGGGCGCUGGAGAACUGAGGGGGGCUGCUCCUAGUACGAGAGGACCGGAGUGGACGCAUCACUGGUGUUCGGGUUGUCAUGCCAAUGGCACUGCCCGGUAGCUAAAUGCGGAAGAGAUAAGUGCUGAAAGCAUCUAAGCACGAAACUUGCCCCGAGAUGAGUUCUCCCUGACCCUUUAAGGGUCCUGAAGGAACGUUGAAGACGACGACGUUGAUAGGCCGGGUGUGUAAGCGCAGCGAUGCGUUGAGCUAACCGGUACUAAUGAACCGUGAGGCUUAACCUU
rnacentral:rRNA from 1 species